GGGUCUAUAGCUCAGUAGGUAGAGUGCUUGCCUUGCAUGCACAAGACCCUGGAUUCAAUCCCCAGUACCA
rnacentral:tRNA from 1 species